rnacentral:rRNA from 1 species
AUGUCUCCGGCCAGCUCGUUCGCGUCGCUCUGCCGGCGCAGGCUGAUCCACUGCACCACCCGCCUCGGCUGCGACAACCAGCCAGCCACGGCGGCGCAUUUUCUGGCGCUGGAUCGGCGGAGAUCGUUUUCGUCCUCUGGCCUGCGUCGUGGCAUCGGAGGAACCAGGAGCAGCGGCGGCGGCGCAGGUGGCACAGGACGACCUGCUGCAGGUUUCUCCACCUGGGCAAGACUGGCAAUUGGCUCCACUGUUGCUAUCGCGGCGCCGUUCCUGCACUCCAAACCGGCGUCGAUUCUGCGGAUCGGAAAUGAGGUGGAGAUGGUGAAGGACGCCGCCGAGACCGCGGCGGAGGUCGUGGAGGAGGUGGCCACGGCGGCCGAGAGGGUGUCGUCCGAGGUGGCCGGGCAUCUGCCGGAGGACGGCCGGCUGAGACGCGCCGCCGUGGCAGUCGAGCACGCCUCCAAGGAGGUCGCGGAGGAGGCUCAUCUUGCACGAGACAUCAUCCACAAGGUCGAUGAAAUUGAGGAGGACGUCAAGGCAAUUAUCGAACCGAUUAUGGAUCAUGGGAAGCACGAGAGGAAGCAUUUAGAAAAGUAG